rnacentral:lncRNA from 1 species
GGCUUUGAGCAUUUGGGUUAAAGCUCCCAAAUAAGAAUACCACUACCACCGCCGCCCCCCCUCCUCCCAAGGUUGGAAAAGUCUGAUUCUGAUUCACUUCCUUUUUGUGUUCUGCUUUCCUGUCAUGUCUACUUUCCCUAGGAUCUCAUCCUUCCAGACUGUGGGCUUCACGUUGCUGUGAGGAAGGAGUGUGGCACAGGCAGACCUCCAGUGCUCUGAGUGGAAUACCAAUGGAGUUUUCAUUUUGGGUUUGGCAUGCACAGAGAUGAGAAAUAAAAAUGAAAAGAUUUCCAGAAAGAAGCCAUGAUAAAGUUUAAUGUUUCACAGUCCAAGCUAAUGUCCAUGGAUAAUUGGCGAAAUGAUCUGAAAAAAUGGAUUCCUGGCAGAAGAAGUGUAACUAGACUAAUGCAAGGAGCUUGGAUCACUUACACGUCACAUGCAAAGUCUGAGUCAUAGCUGGUCCAUGGACUCUACUAUCGGCCUUGUGCUGUAUUGUACCCUGGCUUUCUUAGAGGACUACUGGAUUAGAUGGAGAGAAUGCCCAGGCAUCUCCAUGGCCCCAUUCAGGUUCCAGAGCUUCAUCAAGUCAGUGAGGAGCUACAUGUACCACGGGAGGAGGUACUACAGGAUAUCCUUGUUGUGCACCAGGCAGUACAGAGGGGUAAGAUAUUGCUCCUUACGGCCCCAGCUCUUGACCAAAGCUCUUCUAAAAGAGUGA